rnacentral:rRNA from 1 species
ACCUACGGGGGGCAGCAGUGGGGAAUAUUGGACAAUGGGGGAAACCCUGAUCCAGCGACGCCGCGUGAGUGAAGAAGUAUUUCGGUACGUAAAGCUCUAUCAGCAGGAAAGAAAAUGACGGUACCUGACUAAGAAGCCCCGGCUAACUACGUGCCAGCAGCCGCGGUAAUACGUAGGGGGCAAGCGUUAUCCGGAUUUACUGGGUGUAAAGGGAGCGUAGACGGCAGCGCAAGUCUGGAGUGAAAUGCCGGGGCCCAACCCCGGGACUGCAUUGGAAACUACCGAACUAGCGUGUCGGAGAGGUA